UACGGGGGAUGCAAGCGUUAUCCGGAAUUAUUGGGCGUAAAGGGUCCUGAGGUGGCUAGCCAAGUCUAUUGUGAAAUAUCAGGGCUUAACCCUGAACAUGCGGUGGAAACUAGAAAGCUUGAGUACAGUAGGGACGGAGGGAAUUUCCGGUGGAGCGGUGAAAUGCAUAGAUAUCGGGAAGAACACCAACGGCGAAAGCACUCCGCUGGGCUGAUACUGACACUGACAGACGAAAGCUAGGGUAGCGAAAGGG
rnacentral:rRNA from 1 species